rnacentral:rRNA from 1 species
UACGAAGGGGGCUAGCGUUGUUCGGAAUUACUGGGCGUAAAGCGUGCGCAGGCGGCUUCUCAAGUCAGGGGUGAAAGCCCAGAGCUCAACUCUGGAAUUGCCUUUGAGACUGAGUGGCUUGAGUACGAGAGAGGUGAGUGGAAUUCCCAGUGUAGAGGUGAAAUUCGUAGAUAUUCGGAAGAACACCAGUGGCGAAGGCGACUUACUGGACACAUAUUGACGCUGAGGUGCGAAAGCGUGGGGAGCAAACAGG